GUGCUCGCUUCAGCAGCAUAUGUACUAAAAUUGGUACAAUACAGAUUAGCAUGACCCCUGAACAAGAAUUACAGUGUGUGAAACAUUCCAUAUUUUU
ensembl:snRNA U6 U6 spliceosomal RNA